AUAAAAACGAAUAACUCGAUUAGAAACAAUAAUGUCAAUUUCGACAUAUUCUUCCGGCGCGUCCGUAAAUGAAUUAAAACUCGAUAAUCGAAUUCAGUUCGUUAAUACCCGGGGAAAUAUGAUUACGGUGUAAUUUUCACGGAUAUCGCAUAAACACGAAUACGUUUGGAGUUUAAUAAAACCGGAAAACAAUAUUGUGUACGAGACUCCUCGGGCAUGACCGGGAGGCUUAGUUUUAAUCUUAUUUCUUUUCUCUCUGUUUCGAAAAGGCCGAAG